UACGAAGGGGGCUAGCGUUGCUCGGAUUGACUGGGCGUAAAGGGCGCGUAGGCGGUUCGUACAGUCAGACGUGAAAUUCCUGGGCUCAACCUGGGGGCUGCGUUUGAUACGUGCGGACUUGAGUGCGGAAGAGGGUCGUGGAAUUCCCAGUGUAGUGGUGAAAUGCGUAGAUAUCGGGAGGAACACCAGUGGCGAAGGCGACUACCUGGCCUGUUCUUGACGCUGAGGCGCGAAAGCUAGGGGAGCAAACGGG
rnacentral:rRNA from 1 species